CAGGGCGCGGGGCGAGGCUGCCGGCGGCGAUCAGAGCGCGCUGGUGUCGGGGGGCCAGGUCCAGGGCCGGACGCAGCCAGCCAUUCAGGAAGGCAGCGCUGGAGAGCGGGAGGCAGCCAGCGAGGAGGAUCACACACUUUGCUCUUUUUGUUGUGCCGGUGGCGCCGGGCUCUCGCUGCCUUUUUCUUUCGGGAGGUGACGGAGGGGGAGAAAAACACGAGAUAAUUCACGCCGGCGACGAAUUCACAGCGAAACAGAAAAUAUAAAAAUCAGAAGAAAAAGAAUUGCAAAAAAAAAAAAAAAAAGAAAGAAAAAAAAAAACGAGAGAGACAUCCAAAUACAAAGGCAGGCAGCCGAGGGCAGAGGAAGCAGGCACAGAGGGAUACAGGCAGAAGGAAAGAGAACGUGGAGAGAGACGGAGCGAGUGCAAGAGGAAGCGAGAGCGAGCGCCAGGGAACCAGAGGCCCCCUGGACGCCCGGCCUUCGGGCCCAGCCGCCCUCGGACCCUGGACCGGGAGUCGUGGGCACCAGAAGCGAGACUCGGCCAAGUCCUGCCCCACCAGACAGGGAUUGAGAAACGGAAAUACCACCACCCUCGGGCCAAACUUGUGAGGACUGAUUGCAGGGGAACUGGUGCUCCAGAUGUUGCACUAGAGGCGCUGCAAGUGUGAGCAGGUGGCAGUAGACCUGCAUCGCAGGUUGUAGCAGAUGUUCUCAACAUUUCUCUUGAAAUUUCCUUAUCUCCGUUUGCAAGAGGAGCCCCAGAGCCUCAUCCCUGUGGUAGCUGCCAUGUUCUGGUAUGAUGCUGUGCUCUUCCUCUUCAUCCUUCCUGUUCUAACAAAGGAUCUGGGGUAGAAUUUAGCUGUUUGUUAUUGUAAGCAACUAUGUAGAAAAGGAAGUGGAAUGUUUCAAUAAUACUGAUAUUGUGAUUUCUUUGAGAUUGUGUACUAU
rnacentral:lncRNA from 1 species